UUGAAAUUAUUAAACAUGGUCAUUCACAGCCUCAUUUUUGUAGUGCUUCUGACAACAUUAUGGAAUGGUUUGAGGCCUUGCCCUGCUUUAUCCAGAGCAAGAUCAUAGAAGUUUCAGGCCAUU
rnacentral:snoRNA from 1 species